GCUCUCCAGAGAAGCAGACAACAUUUCACUUCUUCUGAGUUUGUUGUCAGAGGAGGAUUUCUAUGUACGAUAUUACACUCUUCAACUUUUGACAGCUCUUCUCACAAAUUCUCCAAAUAGGUUACAGGAAGCCAUUCUGACCAUACCUCGUGGUAUAACUCGCUUAAUGGAUAUGCUUAUGGAUCGUGAGGUUAUACGAAACGAGGCCUUAUUACUUCUUACUUACUUGACCCGUGAAGCUGAGGAAAUUCAAAAAAUUGUGGUCUUCGAAGGUGCUUUUGAAAAGAUUUUCAGCAUCAUCAAAGAAGAAGGUGGUUCCGAUGGUGGUGUUGUUG